rnacentral:tRNA from 1 species
GCUGCGAUGGCUCAGUGGUUGAGCAUCGACCUAUAAACCUGGAGGGCAUGGUUCGAUUCCUGUUUGGGGCA